GCAGUAGCCGCGGGAAUACGAAGGGGGCUAGCGUUGUUCGGAAUUACUGGGCGUAGAGCGCACGUAGGCGGAUAUUUAAGUCAGGGGUGAAAUCCCGCAGCUCAACUGCGGAACUGCCUUUGAUACUGGGUAUCUUGAGUAUGGAAGAGGUUAGUGGAAUUGCGAGUGUAGAGGUGAAAUUCGUAGAUAUUCGCAGGAACACCAGUGGCGAAGGCGGCUAACUGGUCCAUAACUGACGCUGAGGUGCGAAAGCGUGGGGAGCAAACAGGAUUAGAUACCCCAGUAGUCCCUGUCUCUUAUAC
rnacentral:rRNA from 1 species